rnacentral:rRNA from 1 species
UACGUAGGGUCCGAGCGUUUGUCCGGAAUUAUUGGGCGUAAAGAGCUCGUAGGCGGUUUGUCGCGUCUGCUGUGAAAACUCGGGGCUUAACCCCGGGCCUGCAGUGGGUACGGGCAGACUAGAGUGCGGUAGGGGAGACUGGAAUUCCUGGUGUAGCGGUGAAAUGCGCAGAUAUCAGGAGGAACACCGGUGGCGAAGGCGGGUCUCUGGGCCGUAACUGACGCUGAGGAGCGAAAGCGUGGGGAGCGAACAGG